rnacentral:lncRNA from 1 species
AUGUUUCAUGUGAUGCCUCAUUAUGUUCCCAAUGGCGUUCCAGAGAGAUCUCCAGACGGACGAGGCUCUGAGGUGGACAGCAGGACGUCUGGGAAGACUUUGAGACAGAGCGUGGCGUCUCAAAAGUCCUGUUCAUCAAUUCCUAGAAGGAGAAUUAGAGUGGAGACGAGAGAAUCAGUAGCAUCAUUAGGGACAUCGAUGGCGACGCCAAUGAAGAGCUUAAAUGACAUCAAACCAACAGAGAAGAGAAUCUUUGAGAAAAUCCAAGAAGUUCCUCAAAUAAACCAUAAGAACCCCAAAGUUGGAGAGUCAUUAGAAGCUAAAUAUGUUCCAGAAGCCUUUAAACAUGAGAUAAAGUACCAAGACAAGGAGAACCCUGACCAUAAGUCCAUUUCUGAUGAUAUUAAUGCAGAAGCUGUUAAAGAAAAGGAAGCAAAAACUGCAGAACAAACUCUGGAGAAGCAUUUCAUCAUGAUAGAAGAAGAACAUUAUGAAGAACCACAUUUAGAACAUAAAACACAAGAAGAUAACCAAAUAGAGACAACCACAGGUCUUCUAAAUGAAGAUCUAAACGUCUUAAAGCUCAUAAAGGAUCCCCAGACCAUCACAACCCAAGAUCACUCAAAUUUAGCCAAUCAAAACCCAAGGAAACAAGAGCGAAAUGAAAUUGAGAUGCCAGGAACCAGCCACAGCCAAUGUCAAGACCUCAUUAACCCCCUUAAACUGGAUGACGUGACUCUCAGCAGCUCCUCGUUAGAGAUUUAUUCCUGGACCAGUGAGGAAGAAGACUCUGAAACUGAGCCAGAACUUGAGCUGGAGGACAUUCAGGGCUGUAGAGUGGCCGUUCCGGUGGAGGAGACGGGCAUCGCGGUGUUUUUAGACAGCUGUGAAGAAGCUGGAAACGUGGACUUUGAGGUUUUUGUACGGGAGCGGGCGUACGUGCAUCAGAAAGAGACGGAAACCCAAGAAAAAAGGCUGAAAUCCAGGAGAAAACAUGACUGCAGUGUUUCAUAA